rnacentral:rRNA from 1 species
GUAGGGAAUCUUCCACAAUGGACGCAAGUCUGAUAGAGCAACCCGCGUGAGUGAAGAAGGCUUUCGGGUCGUAAAACUCUGUUGUUGGAGAAGAAUGGUCGGCGGAGUAACUGUUGUCGGCGUGACGGUAUCCAACCAGAAAGCCACGGCUACUACGUGCCAGCAGCCGCGGUAAUACGUAGGUGGCAAGCGUUAUCCGGAUUUAUUGGGCGUAAAGCG